CGUUUUGACCUGAAUCUGCUGUGUUGACACAGAGGCACAGCUCAAUGUCGCUCCUAGAGACAGAGUCCUAAUGUUGAUCCUUUGAUCUCGUUCUCAAAUAGAACCAUACUCAGUCUCUGUGUUCUCAUACAAAGCAUUCAUUUUGCCGAGCUCUUCUUCCACUGAGGCUGUUGUUGGUCCUGAGGUCUUCUAGACGUUUCUUUGAACCCUCUGACUGAUACCUGCUCCCCCUGUGACCUUUGACCCGAACGCGCGCAUCGCCUUACGCUUGCUCAUCAGAAAGCUGAACGCGUUCAUCAGCAGCAGUGGAGAAGGCGCAACAAGAUGGCCGCCGCCUUGAGCAACUCAUUGCGAAACACGGAAAUGAGCGACUUUGCAAUGGAACAUGCGUCAAAUGCUGAUUGAGUCCAGGGAAUGGUGUAAAAUCAGGUGAAAUAAGCUUUGAGUGUGAACUCACAGCAGUUUGUUGUGAGAGGUAAUUUCCCCACUGCGGGACUAUUAAAGGUUUUCUUAUUCUUAUUCUUAUUCUUGUUUUUCCUGUUGACGACAGGUUGGACCGAGUCUCGGCCGCGUGGACAACAGUGAGCUUUCUGACCCCCCGACCCCCCCACCCCCUCCUCCCCACAGUCCUGGUUCUCGCCUGCGCUGCUGCUCGGCUCCGGGCUGCUCUGAGGAGCGCACUGUACUGCAUCUUUAGCCGUGCGGCUGGCAUGUUUGAGGGCCGGUUUACACGGCGGCAGCGCACGCAAGCACGCCCCUCGCCAUCAGUGACUUCGGUCUGGUCGUCUGUGCUGCCGAACAAGAUCCCCGCACUGGCUCACCUGGUCCCACCCACGUUCCCAGACUCCAGAUGUGGGUGAAGUGUUCAGAUGGGGCAGAUGGGAAGCAGCCCUGAUUAAACGCACUUCUGUCUGUUUGUGUCUCCUUUUGGUCACUUUUCACUUCUUUAGGAUCACUCUGUGUGUAUUUUGUAGGACCCUACUGACAAACAGUCUGUUUGUUCUGCUGGCUUUUUGACUUUUUGUUGUGUUUUGUGUAUUUGUGCCCCUAUCUCUCAGCAUCAUGGUCAUUUGGCCGACCCUGUGUUUGUGUUUUCGGACCGCAUUAAAGAUAUUAACUCACCAUAACACACCAUAAUGCCACUUGUUUAUUAGUUGUGUAGCAUACGUAUGCACUGUGUCUACUCCCCAACAACCUACAUUGUACAAAUCAAAAUUGAAUUAAAUUGGACUUAGGACCUAGGAAUUUAAUUUAGCAGCAUUUAUAACCCAGACUCCUUGACAUAAACACCUGAACAGACCCUGAUCCUUUCUCACCCUCACUGUAAAACUCAGCAACCACUGGUGUUCUGUAUUCACAGAAAUACAAACCAGUUUUGAAAUUGAAUCUGAUUUUGUUUUCAGCACAAAUAAAGUCAUUGUAAUGACUUCA
rnacentral:lncRNA from 1 species